ACACGACUACAUUAGAUACCCGUGUAGUCCCAGCCCUAAACGAUGCGCGUUAGGUGUAUCGGUGACCACGAGUCACCGAGGUGCCGAAGGGAAACCGUGAAACGUGCCGCCUGGGAAGUACGGUCGCAAGGCUGAAACUUAAAGGAAUUGGCGGGGGAGCACCACAACGGGUGGAGCCCGCGGUUUAAUUGGACUCAACGCCGGGAAGCUCACCGGAUAAGACAGCGGAAUGAUUGCCGGGCUGAAGACCCUGCAUGACCAGCUG
rnacentral:rRNA from 1 species